rnacentral:rRNA from 1 species
UACAGAGGUCCCAAGCGUUGUUCGGAUUCAUUGGGCGUAAAGGGUGCGUAGGCGGCGCGGUAAGUCGGGUGUGAAAUCUCGGAGCUUAACUCCGAAACUGCAUUCGAUACUGCCGUGCUUGAGGACUGGAGAGGAGACUGGAAUUUACGGUGUAGCGGUGAAAUGCGUAGAUAUCGUAAGGAAGACCAGUGGCGAAGGAGAGCCUCUGGACAGUUACUGACACUGAGGCACGAAGGCCAGGGGAGCAAACGGG